GACGAACGCUGGCGGCGUGCCUAAUACAUGCAAGUCGAGCGAACGGACGAGAAGCUUGCUUCUCUGAUGUUAGCGGCGGACGGGUGAGUAACACGUGGAUAACCUACCUAUAAGACUGGGAUAACUUCGGGAAACCGGAGCUAAUACCGGAUAAUAUUUUGAACCGCAUGGUUCAAAAGUGAAAGACAGUCUUGCUGUCACUUAUAGAUGGAUCCGCGCUGCAUUAGCUAGUUGGUAAGGUAACGGCUUACCAAGGCAACGAUGCAUAGCCGACCUGAGAGGGUGAUCGGCCACACUGGAACUGAGACACGGUCCAGACUCCUACGGGAGGCAGCAGUAGGGAAUCUUCCGCAAUGGGCGAAAGCCUGACGGAGCAACGCCGCGUGAGUGAUGAAGGUCUUCGGAUCGUAAAACUCUGUUAUUAGGGAAGAACAUAUGUGUAAGUAACUGUGCACAUCUUGACGGUACCUAAUCAGAAAGCCACGGCUAACUACGUG
rnacentral:rRNA from 1 species